UACGGAGGGAGCUAGCGUUUGUUCGGAAUUACUGGGCGUAAAGCGCGCGUAGGCGGCUUUGUAAGUUAGAGGUGAAAAGCCCCGGAGCUCAACUCCGGAACUGCCUUUAAAAACUGCAUCGCUUGAAUCCAGGAGAGGUGAGUGGAAUUCCCCCAAGUAGAGGUGAAAAUUCGUAGAUAUGGGGGAGGAACACCGGUGGCGAAGGCGGCCACCUGGACGGUUACUGACGCUGAGACGCGAAAGCGUGGGAAGCAAACAGG
rnacentral:rRNA from 1 species